UACACUUGACUUACAAGCCUGCCAAUUGCAUCUAAUCUUUUGGCAUUGUUCAUGCCAUCAAUAAGCUUCGUAAUGAUCUACCAGGUUUGAACUUAGCUGUAUCCCUUUGUGCACCAGUUCAAUAGUUUGUAGCCAGAUAAUGCCUGCAGCUUGAGCUUUUCCUCUGGAAAAACUUGUGAAUGCACUUCAUGUAUAUCAAAAGAAUAGUCAGCAAAAAAUGUUUAUUGAGUACAUCAUGGUAGAUAAGGUGAAUAAUGAAGAGCCAUAUGCUCACCAGCUUGGCAAACUGCUAGAGACAUCUCAAGUGCCUUUCUUAAAUCUGUGCUAAUCUAUGGACAAACUUCAUUGGUGAAUUUGGAAGGCCCAGCAAUAUCCUUGUAUUUCUUGGGAAAGUUGUUUCAGUGUAGAUUGGUGAAAGUUGAAUUGUAAUGGUCUGUCAAGCCAAGGCCUGGUUUUGUGCAUCUGAUCUAGGAUUUCCUUUGCCUUUUACUAGUGAAUUAGAAAACUGGGAUGUUUCUUAAUACUUGUAAUGUUAAUCUCCUGCUAGGUAACAAUUGAUGUUGCAAGUCCAGAAGCAGGUGUGAUUAAAGAGCUUGUAGCCAAGGGAGAAACUGUGGAACCAGGUUUCAAAAUUGCUAUCAUUUCAAAGUCUGGUGAAGGUGUAGCUCAUGUAGCUUCCUUGGAGAAAAUACCAGAGAGGGCUGCUCCUAACCCAUCUCUUGCUGAAAAAAUAGAAGAGGAGAAGCCAAAACCUAAAGUUGAAACAGCAACUGUCUUGGAUAAGCAGCCUAAAGCACUCUCUCUGCCACCUCAUAUAUAUAUUACUUAGAUAUUAUGAUUUUCUUUUUUCUCAUUUUGUACAUCUGGUGUGCAUGUCUUCUUGCCAACAAAUGUAGAAGGCUGUCUUAAUUUUUAUAUUCAUGCAAACAUAUUACCCUUGUUUUUCUAAUCCACCACCACCUUUUAAUUAGAUA